rnacentral:rRNA from 1 species
GUACGGGAGGCAGCAAUCAGGAAUCUUGCGCAAUGGGGGAAACCCUGACGCAGCGACGCCGCGUGGGUGAUGAAAUCCUUCGGGAUGUAAAGCCCUUUUCUUGGGGACGAAGAAUGUGACGGUACCCAAGGAAUAAGCCCCGGCUAACUACGUGCCAGCAGCCGCGGUAAUACGUAGGGGGCGAGCGUUGUCCGAAUUUACUGGGCGUAAAGCGCACGUAGGCGGCUUGUCAAGUCCGAUGUGAAAUCCCGGGGCUCAACCUCGGAACUGCAUUGGAAACUGGCAGGCUUGAGUGCAGGAGAGGAGAGUGGAAUUCCUGGUGUAGCGGUGAAAUGCGUAGAUAUCAGGAGGAACACCCGUGGCGAAGGCGGCUCUCUGGCCUGCUUCUGACGCUGAGGUGCGAAAGCUAGGGGAGCGAACGGGAUUAGAUACCCCAGUAGUCGC